AGUGAGCGCUGGCGGUAGGCCUAACACAUGCAAGUCGAACGGCAGCACAGUAAGAGCUUGCUCUUACGGGUGGCGAGUGGCGGACGGGUGAGGAAUACAUCGGAAUCUACUUUUUCGUGGGGGAUAACGUAGGGAAACUUACGCUAAUACCGCAUACGACCUACGGGUGAAAGCAGGGGAUCUUCGGACCUUGCGCGAUUGAAUGAGCCGAUGUCGGAUUAGCUAGUUGGCGGGGUAAAGGCCCACCAAGGCGACGAUCCGUAGCUGGUCUGAGAGGAUGAUCAGCCACACUGGAACUGAGACACGGUCCAGACUCCUACGGGAGGCAGCAGUGGGGAAUUUUGGACAAUGGGCGCAAGCCUGAUCCAGCCAUACCGCGUGGGUGAAGAAGGCCUUCGGGUUGUAAAGCCCUUUUGUUGGGAAAGAAAAGCAGCAGGUUAAUACCCCGCUGUUCUGACGGUACCCAAAGAAUAAGCACCGGCUAACUUCGUG
rnacentral:rRNA from 1 species